rnacentral:lncRNA from 1 species
UGUUUUAGUGAUGUCAGCUAGUGCAGUUCUCAAAUGGCUGCCUAUUAGGGAAAGAAUUCAGAGGAUUUGACUGCUCCUAAUCAUCUGUCAUUGCUGCUAGAUAAUGAUUGGCAAUUUUUAAGACUCAACUGGAAAUCUCAACAGUUGCUGGUAAACCAUUAACCAUAAAAACGUUGCUUUUGAACACCAGUGCUGAAAAAAAUAUUUUUUUUUUUUUUUUUGAGAGUGAAAAGGGCUUGGACUUAAGAUAGGACAAUGUGGAGAAUGGGGGGAAGAAUGCAAAACGAUAUAGUAUCCCUUAUGGAUGGUACAUGUGCAACAGGGAACUCUUACUUCAUAUACCCUUUGCAGUAAUCAUUCAGGGAGGAAGAAAAACCUGGAACUUGAAUGAAGGCUGAUCUUUGUUUUGUGCACUGUGGCCCUGCCAGGCAUAUAGUGAAGGUAAGAAUGAUUGAUGUUGGCUGAUAUUGGAGUGCUCAUUCACAUGAAGUGGAUAGAUACUUCUCAAGACAUCACACAGCGUGAGUCAAUCAAGGAGGGAAGCCACAAGCAGACUGACAACGUUUCUAGGAUCAGGUGAGCUGUGUCCAGAAAACCAACGAGAAGGAGUGGAAGGAGGAAUGAACGUUUCAUUCUCGUUAAUAAAGGCAUUAUCCUAAUUA